rnacentral:rRNA from 1 species
UACGUAGGUGGCAAGCGUUGUCCGGAAUUAUUGGGCGUAAAGGCGCGCGCAGGCGGCCUCUUAAGUCUGAUGUGAAAGCCCCCGGCUCAACCGGGGAGGGCCAUUGGAAACUGGGAGGCUUGAGUAUAGGAGAGAAGAGUGGAAUUCCACGUGUAGCUGGUGAAAUGCGUAGAGAUGUGGAGGAACACCAGUGGCGAAGGCGACUCUUUGGCCUAUAACUGACGCUGAGGCGCGAAGCGUGGGAGCAAACAGG